UACAGAGGUCCCGAGCGUUGUUCGGAUUCACUGGGCGUAAAGGGUGCGCAGGUGGCUUGGCAAGUUUGAUGUGAAAUCUCCGGGCUCAACCCGGAAAUGGCAUUAAAUACUGCUGAGCUUGAGGUUUGGAGGGGGGACUGGAAUUCUCGGUGUAGCAGUGAAAUGCGUAGAUAUCGAGAGGAACACCAGUGGCGAAGGCGAGUCCCUGGACAACACCUGACACUGAGGAACGAAAGCUAGGGGAGCAAACAGG
rnacentral:rRNA from 1 species